AGACUGGCAAGCUGCGUUUGUGUCUGCUGAGUAUUGAGCAGCCGGCCUGGACCGCGGACUUGGCGGCCGAGCGGGCUCGUCAGUACUGGCAGUUUGCAGUCAGGCCCCUGGUGCGACUCGAGGGGGCAUGUUGGUGUGAAGGGGGUGUGCCGUGUCGCCCCACGUCAGGCUGUUAUGACUGGCGGCUGUCAAGGUGCUAGAAUACUGACAGGCCGCCCGUCAGGACAGGCU
rnacentral:lncRNA from 1 species